AUGGAAUGUAAAACGUUACUGUUCAGAAGAGUAACCGAUGUCAAUUGUAACCCUAAUAGGACGUCUGGAGGUUCCGAAGUAAUUCUUCACCAGAAAAAAAAAAUAUUUGAGUGGUAACUGAAACUAAAACACCGAAAAAUCGGUCGGCUUGGCAUUAUAAUAACCAAAACGAUGAAAUUCAAAAAAAUCCGACCUCGGUUUGCGUUGUGAACGUUGUAAGCUUUCUUCAAGACUCUUUACUGAACUGUUCCGACUUCUGUUUGAAAUGUAGGAAUUUUGGCUUGUUGCCCUGCUUGGAGUUUUAUGCCAAACUUACAGCCUUUGAAAUAAUGAAAGCAACGGCUGACCAAGUUAUUAUCGAUCACUCAGAUUAUAAAAUUUUCAGUAUACACUUUGUGUUGUCAUAACCUGCAUGCUUGCUUUGUAUCGACAUUUUCGGGAGAAGUCAGGUGUUGGUGUCUCAUGUUUAAGGAUAAAAUGGUGCUUCGAGCUUAGAAAUUGAUGAACUCGCCAUUUUGAUUCUGAUUUAGCCUGUACUUGAACCCUCUUUGUAACUCGGGUGUUGAUCCUGAUUCUCUGGCCUAACACAGAGGCACAAAUGAGCAAUGUAGAACCAUACGCAACUGAGCAUUCUGACAAGGUAAUAAGACUCUAACGAAUUGUCAAACAUCAUAUCUAGGAAGAAAGAUUUACUAAAAAAUUGUUUCCGGGGACAUCAGGCUGACAGUUAACGCUGUCUUUGUUAGCAUGACGCGAAAAACAAGGAAUACUGUUACUUUCCCUUUUGAUGAGGUGCUAGCAGACUCCUUGGCUUACUCUUUAAAAGUUUGUUCACAUGUCUCCACUUGUCUUCUGUCCGAGAAUAUACAUGCACGUGGGCAUAUAGAGGCACGGCGAAGUUAAAGUGCUUUGGCCAAGAAAAUAUCGCAACCCUUAAGCCCAACCAGCUUUCCAACCCGGUGAUCAGAAGUCUAGCAGAAUAUUACGUCCGAGCGCAUCCGACUCAAGAAGAGAGCAACAACUGAAAGCUGUUGUGGUUUAGUAUCGAAGGAACCAUAAAAGAAUUUAGAGAAAACGUAAGCACUUUCGAAAUUCCUUCAUAACGAAGGACCUUUCAGGAAAGAAACAUUUCAUAUUUCAUCUGCAUUUCUCAGCAAAACUAGUUGAAACUCUUCGAAAAGCAGCUAAACUACUUCCUAAGAAAGGUUUCCCAAACAAUUUUAGUCAGCUAUGGCUACAAAUCAUUUUUUGGCAAGAGUUUCAUUAAAUUAUCAUCAAGGACAAACGAAAACGUUGGCGAAAUAUGAGAGCGUUUAUGCACCAGUUCCUACAACACUCGAGUUGCGCCCCUGUAGCAGGUGCCAUUUAACCUCAGGUAAAGAGCUGUCAAUAAACUGACUACUGCUAAACUUACCAAAUAUCUAAACUUUACAGAACGGAGCAAUUUCGUUCAUUAAAUGUCGAUGGAUUUUGGAAUUUUGUUCUUGUGUGACUAUGUAAAAACUGGGUAUGGCGAAAAUGGUUGAUUUAGUCGGUCAAGAGAGACUUGGGAGAAAGGUGUAGAAAUGCGACGGAUGCCCCACUUAGAAUGGAACUCGCGCGGUUUGCCCAUGCAGUGGAAAAAGAGAUCAUCCACCAACAGCCACCGGAGCAAGAUAUAUAGCGACUUUUAUAGAAGUUCUAGACCCUACAGCUUGGACGCGGAUGAAGACCAGCAGAAUGAUUUUCCACCUCACUUUCCUCGUCCGGGGAAAAGAACUGUGCAUCCAUAAUAAUGUUUGGAAGUAGAGAUAUACCUCUGCGGUUCAGUCACUGCUCUCGCAUUUUUUGGCACUUGUGUGUUAUAUAGUUAUUUCGUCUGCACUCCCGAUUUCGUUAAUUUGACUGGAUUGAUUAGGAAAAAAAAAACAGCCUUCCGUUCCUCUUUAGUUCGAUUCCUCGAUAACUCGGAACACUGGGAUUAACUUCACUUUCUGUUAAAAUAAACUGUAAAUUCAAUAAAAAUGCGUCAAGCUACAGUUGUGUUAUUAUUGGCUACGUUAGCCACAGUUGCUAGUUAGUCACAAUGGCUAGAUGAAAAAAAAGGCUGCGUCAUAAUUUCUCAAAGACUGUACAUGCAUAUGCUGCCAUCUAAACAUCUAAGUCUAAACAUCGUUGAGCUCAAGCAGGGAACAGAGCGAGUAAGAGGCCAAUAACUGACUAGUUCCCAGUCGUCUCUCAGAGUCAACCCCUGCUUUAUCACUUUUUCCCAGUCGACUCUCGCUCCGGUCGGAGACUCAGAAACGGCUGUGACCUGGAUCAAAGGACAAUGCCAGACGGAGCCGUAAUAAGUGUUCGAGGUGGCUGGCAACAGCUUUCAACAAUUUCAAGUAAUGUUACAAUACUGGUAUCACGCAAAUGCUCAAUCAUUGUCAAAUUUGUUGUGGACAUUUUCAUUAUUGUGGUAGACCGGGUAGACAGUUGAUCCGCCAAAGUAAAACUGAUGAAAAGUGCGGGAAAAUGCUAGUCAGCCACCUGAAUUAAAUUAAAUUGAUGUGCCCGUCUUUUGAGAUUUUAAAGUAUUGUCUUUCUACGAUUACGUAUAUUAUUUAUGUAGCGUGAGUAUCAUUCUGGAAGCUUGGAAUAGCAACUGAUGAUCGCGCUAUUGCGUGAUGUUGUAUGUCUCGAUGGUCACGCAAUGUAUUAUAGUCAGUCACGCAAUUAACUUAUUUUGUCACAUGCUCCCCUUCACCGGCAAAGAACAGCUGUAAAGCUGCAGAAUACUACUUGAACAUAUUUCGAGCAAUUGAGGAUUUACACUGCUCGUGAUAUUUGAAAAUUUAUUCAAAUUACACACGCCUAAAGGCUUGUGUAAUUUUGAGAGAAUUUUCAAAUACCACUCGUGGUGUAAAUCCUUAAUUGCUCUCGCAUUCGUACGCUUACCUAUACUUAUUAUCUCUUUGGUCUUUUUCUAUCUCAGUAAACUAUUAUUUUCAGGUUUCCUUCAUUUUAAAGGUAAUUCAUUUCACAAUCACAAUGAUGUAAUUUUCUCAGUCAUAUAAUGAUAAACCAAAGGGACAAGGAUGGUUAUAAUUAAGGAUGGAGAAGAAUGACACGAAUUGUAAACGAUAAACCUUGAAAAAUUUAGACUAAACUUUUCAAGAUGCGAAUCCGUGACGUAAUGAGCUCCUUUAAUAGAUCGUGAACGAGCAGUGUAACUUGCGGGUGAGUUCGUAUCACAUGCGUUCCCGCAGAAAGCGGAGGCCUAUCUUUGGAAUUUCCGUUCACUGAUUACGUCACAAAUGACACACAUGAAAUUGACUGACCAGGUUUCUAUUGGCAAUAAGAAUGGCCUUGAAUUGGUGGGCGCGUGUUACAGUCUACAAGUUGAUAAGCCACAUGACGUUGGCUCGCCUGCGCAUUUAAAAUCUGUCGUAUACAUUGCAAAAAGAUUCGGACGAUUUUAAUUUUGGACAAAAAAGUGUCCGAAAAUGAAACCCUCCAAAAUUUUUAACCGUCCGAAAUAUUUACAGUAGACUAUCAAACUUUUAAAUCGGCUCCAAAGCAGCUAGUGUUCUUUAUGGAGUGAACUCUAGCUGAGACACUGCUUAAGAUACGUAACGGCUUGAUAGGAUUUUUCUUAUUUUCCCGUCGGUGUAUCUGUAAACCCUUGAGGCUGUAGUAAAACUAUCGUUAUCUCAGAUGUUGUUUCAGUCUAAAAGGUGAUUUGUAGGCGUAAAUUUACGUUAGCUACGUUUCAGCAGUGUCCGAAACGUGGUAAAUUUCUUUUGCUAAUAUUUGUGUUGAAAAUAUUCCCGCACACCUUAUUUAUUCGAUCUCUAAAAGUAAAAGAAAGAGAAAAAAGCUACAGGCAUAUACAAAUGAAUAAAUAACUUUUUAUUAAAUAGUUAUUAUAAGUCUGUCGUGAUUCACCAUGGGAAUUGUUAAAAAAAAUUACAGUUAUUGCUUACCGUUUAACGAAACGGCCCAGUGAAAUUGUUUGAUAUAACAUUUUCUCAAAUAUGAUAUUCAGUGAAAGAAGAAAUCUUGUGCAUAAAAUAUUAUAAUAUAUUAAGCAUUUUUUGUCGUUUUCAUUGAUAAAUAACAUUUUACAUCCAUUGUUAUGAGCCUUCUUAUUUUCUUACUUUUGCGUGUUACGACCGCGAUGCACGCUGGUACUAGCUUUUGUAGGUGAUAUCUGCAAACAAAGUUGUUUCCUGAGCACAAUAUAUAUUGAAAGUAUGUUAAUAACAUCAAUUAUAAUCUGCAACUGUGUGCUUGAGAUGCGCGCGUCAAUUUUACAGUUAUGGAAAAUGUUUCCUAUAAGAAUACAGUAAACAUCCGCAUAUAAGAUCACAUGAUUUCGUGGUUCAGGCUGAUCUAGUUCUUAUUUAUCGGGUGCUUAGUGAGAUAUCAGCCUGAAGAUGUUCUUAAUAUGUUCUUAAACUAUGUUUCAGAAAUACUACACAUAAGAUGUUAUUAGCGGUUUGGUUACCAUAUUUUAUUAUAAAUAAGUAGGAAAGUAAACAAAUCCGUUAAUCAAUAAAUAAAAUAACAAUCUGUCAGGUAGUAAACUAGUUAACAUUAACGAGUAGAAAUGUAGCACUGGUUUCAACAUUUUUUUAAAAUAUUUCUUACAGUCAUGCUAAACCAACCGGGGCCACCAUAGUCUCGCAGCAACCAUAGUUACAUUGCUUUCUUACUCCGACACCCUCUCCCUUAUUAUACAAAAACAUGUUUUAUUUAUCAGGCUGAACUGGUUCUUAUAUAUAUGGUGCUUUAUGGGCCAAAUUUCUGGGCCAAAUUUCAGGGCCAAAUUUCAUGUUCUUAAUCCAUUUGUUGCUAUAUGCAGGUGUUCACUGUAUCACGGAUAUUUCGCAUUAAAACACCUGAUCUAUUGUUAAUGUCUAAACCACGUAUUUUGGCCCCUACAAAAUACUGAACGUUACAUUGUAAGUUGGCUAAAAAUGUAGCUUGCCUGGUAAAGUAAAAAAAGUGUUUACACCUGAAACAUU